CCUACAUUCACUUCACCUGGAGCCAUGCCGCCACGGCAGCUUCCCAUCAACAAACAGAAAUGCAGUCACCUGUCACUGAGCUUUAUGGUGUGAAGAGAAGAAGAGAAUGGGAGCAGGGCCGCAGAGGUUAGAGAGCUGUGAGGAGAGGCUCUCGAUCCUCAUGCGGCUCUCCAUCAGCUCCUCCCUGGCACUGUUGACCGUGGAAGUGUUCAUCUCUGAGGACAGCCUGGCGUUCUCCAGCUGUAAGAGCAGGAAGCCUUCAGUCUUAAUCAACAAAUGAGGAAGCAGGACUCACCAAGGCACUUCCAACCUAAGCCCUGACGGUAACUGGCUGAUGAAACAGGAAAAUCGUGACUGGUCCGCUGACGCCAUCACCAGACAACUGUCUUUUCUCACUGGCUUCUAAAGCUAUGGAUUUAAACAACUUCAAUGAAUCUAGUUCAGUAUUCCACUGAACACUUACUGUCUAGGGUAGCACUAACAAACGACAAUAAA